UAUAGUCUUUGAGGUCAGGUGAGAUAGUCAUAUCAAUUCCUAACCGGCGGUGAUAGUCCGCAAGCCUGUGACGGCACGAUACGGUGCAAUUCCGUAACCGACAGUAAAGUCUGGAUGAGAAAAGACACAA
rnacentral:ncRNA from 2 species